rnacentral:rRNA from 1 species
AUUGAACGCUGGCGGCAGGCUUAACACAUGCAAGUCGAGCGAGCGGCGGACGGGUGAGUAAUGUCUGGGAAACUGCCUGUUGGAGGGGGAUAACUACUGGAAACGGUAGCUAAUACCGCAUACCAUCAGAUGUGCCCAGAUGGGAUUGGCUAGGAGGUGGGGUAAUGGGUCACCUAGGCGACGUUCCCUAGCUGGGCUGAGAGGAUGACGCGCCAAACGGGAACUGAGACACGGUCCAGACUCUUACGGGAGGCGGCAGUGGGGAAUAUUGGACAAUGGGCGCAAGCCUGAUGCAGCCAUGCCGCGGGUGUGAAGAAGGCCUGCGGGUUGUAAAGCACUUUCAGCGAGGAGGCGGUACUCGCAGAAGAAGCACCGGCUAACUCCGUGCCAGCAGCCGCGGUAAUAC